AGGGCAGGAGACGCAUCAGUCCGGUGGGCUGAUCACAGGCUAAGACGUCUUAGUCUCUUGGGUCACAAGAAUGCAUUGAGGGACUUACCUGCUUCUUCCAGUUGUUUAAGAGAGGGCACCAGAGGACUCAGCCUGCACUCCUGGGGUGGCUGGCUGGGCUCCCCAAUUCCGCCACCAGGCUCCCCGGCCUGGGUCCCUCCUCAGGGCCCAGGUGGCCGUCCUCUUGCCUCCUGCCCCGUCCUCCGCUGCCUGCUGCCCUCCCUGCACUGGGGCGCUCGGGACAAGGGGCUCGGGGUCCCCUUCCCCAAGCCCUCCUGCUCCAGGAAGCAGGGGCAGCAGCUGAGUAUCAACCAGAGAUGCCUGUGGGGGGGGGCAGUGAGCGUGACAGACCCCCCAGGACAGAGUCCCUUGGACAGGGCCCCCAGGGUGGGGGCCCCAGGUCGGGGCCCCAGGUGGAACCUCAGGAAGCCUUACUUGCUCUGCUGUCUGCAUUUAUUAUCCUGCUGGAUAACGAGUGGGCCAAGGUGGCCGCCAGUUCCAGAAGGCGUCUUUGACGGCCUAGUGGGAGGCCAGGGCCAGCUGGCCAAACACCCACGGGCGUUGGUUCUGUCUGCUCAGCCACCACACGGCCACUGCCAGGGCUGCGGGAAACAAGUCCAGACCCUUGCAGAAACUGACCACACUUCAUCGGUCCAGCAAACCCCAAGCACCUGCUCAACAGGCAGAACACACGUCUUAAAGAUCCCACAUCUGAGAUGCUUCUUUUUUUUUGCAGUAUUUCCUUCCCCUGAAGAGGAAGCACAUGCAUUUACUACGGAAAAACAGAAGAGAACGAGGAAGAAAGCGGAACAUCACUCAAGGUCAACCCUGCAGGCAAGCAUGGCUGGGCUGUGUCCGUGUCGCCAGCUCUGGUCACUUCCCGUCCUCUGGACCAGUCGUUGUUCUGCUCGGCGCUGCCUUAUGGUUCCAGCAGAGGAAAGGGACGCGUGGUGCAGUGGUCCCCAGGCUCAGGGUCAAUUCCUGGGAGUCCCCUCUCUCCAGCCAGGUGAAACCGGGCUGCCCCCUCGUCACUCUGCUCAGGACCAGCUCUGCAGUGGACCUUGA
rnacentral:lncRNA from 1 species